rnacentral:misc_RNA from 1 species
CUUGAUUGCUGUCAUCCAAAAGGAGAAGUCAGAAGAGUAUUCUAGAUUUCCUCUAGAUGAUCUCAUACCAUCUUUACGUAAAAUUCGCAAACUUGCAGAACUGCUAGACAUGCCCUUGAAAUCCAUUACAACAGCUUGGGAGAGCGGGGAACUCCUCAACUCUGGUUUUACAGUGUCAGAGGUAGAAGAUUUUAUUAAAGCCAUAUUUGCAGAAUCAUCUUUGCGAAAGGAAUGCAUACGGAGAAUACAAAACGUCAGCUUGUGAAAGUUACAAUUUACCACGAAC